rnacentral:rRNA from 1 species
GAUGAACGCUGGCGGCGUGCCUACUACAUGCAAGUCGAGCGAAUCGGGGACGGGUGAGUAACACGUGGAUAACCUCCUAUAAGACUUGGAUAACUUCGGGAAACCGGCGCUACACCGGAUACUUAUAGAUGGCUCCGCGCUGCAUUAGCUAUUUGGUAAGGUAACGGCUUACAAAGGCAACGAUGCAUAGCCGACCUGAGAGUGGGAUCGGCAACACUGGAACUGAGACACGGUCCAGACUCCUACGGGAGGCAGCAGUAGGGAAUCUUCCGCAAUGGGCGAAAGCCUGACUGAGCAACGCCGCGUGAGUGAUGAAGGUCUUCGGAUCGGAAAACUCUGGUAUUAGGGAAGCGGUACCUAAUCAGAAAGCCACGGCUAACUACGUGCCAGCAGCCGCGGUAAUAC